GACGAACGCUGGCGGCGUGCUAAACACAUGCAAGUCGAACGAGUGGCGAACGGGUGCGUAAUACGUGAGUACCCUGCCCUCUUUUUGGGAUAAGCCUUGGAAACGGGGUCUAAUACCGGAUAAAGGUGUAUGGGCUCGUGGCCUAUCAGCUUGUUGGUGGGUUGAUGGCCUACCAAGGCGGUGACGGGUAGCCGGCCUGCGAGGGUGACCCGCCCCAAUUGGACUGAGGUUCCGGCCAGUCUACGUCGGUGGGCAUCCGUGUGGGAUAUGGCGCAAUGGGAGAAAGCCUGAUGCAGCUACGCCGCAUGGGGGAUGAAGGCGUUCGGGUUGUAAACCUCUUUCGCUAGCGAACGGGUAGGUGGAGAAGAAGCGCCGGCUAACUACGUGCCAGCCGCCGCGGUAAUAC
rnacentral:rRNA from 1 species